rnacentral:misc_RNA from 1 species
AAAAAAAAAAAAAAAACAAAGAAGCCUGAGCAAGAUCACAUGCUAAUUAUGAGUGAUUGUUUUUAAAAAAGAACAUAUUCCUUCAAGUCUCCUUUUCUCUUAUCUCUCACUGUUACCAUAAUACUCUUUCCACUUCAAAAAUUCUAACCAGCCACACCAGCAAGAGAAACCAGACAAAUGCACUUUAUCAGAAGUCAGUUGUUUGUGUAAGCAAUUGAUUGCAAAAAAUUAAAGCGCAAGCACUCAGAAAUCAAGUUAAGUCAUCA